ensembl:lncRNA
CCACCUGUCACUCAAGUGGCCAUGCCCUUAAUUAUGCAGAACUUAAUAUAUAAAGGCUUAAUAUAAUUUAAACUGAUGAGUUAUAAAAAAAAAUCACCCCCCUCACAGUUGUGAUGAAGGGCAAAAUUAGCUAUAUAGACCAAAAUCAUUUUUUGAACCAGGCUGUAAACAUGUUUUUUUCUGCUGUAAAGUUGGGCAUUUUAACAUGGGGAGUCUAUGGGACUGACUCCCUUUUGCAGCCAGCCUCAAGCGGCCAGUCGAUGAAUUACAGUUUUAAUCACUUCUUUUUUGUCUUCACGGGAAGAAAGAGUUAGGUUGCGUGGUCGAGCGUGACUCAAAACUUAAGUGUAUAACUUCACCACUGCAUGAAGUACCAAACCUUGAUAGUGUUUCUAAGCAAAUGCUAUGCGUGUGAGCCUGUGAGUGCGUUCUUCUAUUCUUGUAUGCUCAUGUUCGCAUUUGAGGAGGUUGUGGUGUAAAGAGCUGCCGAUUUAUUUUGUAAAUAUUGUGUGAUGAUAUGAAUGUUUUUUUCAGGCCCAGUAGUUCAGUGAGUGACACGGAACACAAACAGAAAAGAAAGAACAAGAAGAUGAGAGAGAUGAAGAUGGAGGAAGAACCACAACCCAGUGAAUCAACACAAGAGAAACUUGUUAAAUGGGGCAGCAUGACGCUUAUAAAACCAGACUUGUCUCAUGAAGCUGAUCGAUCAGAAAGUCAAUCUGAUGUUUCAGAAAGAAGCAAAGAUGAGUAGAUCAUUUGAAUGGCAGCAGACAGAAAACCUGCUCUGAAUAACUCAUUUCAUGAUUUCAAAUGGAGCCUCAGUAUAUAGUCAGAUCGUCUUAUAUUGUGUGCAGUAUUGGGAAGGUUACUUUGGAAAUGUAAUAGGUUACAGAUUACAAGUUACCCUAUUUAAAAUUUAAUAGUAGUGUAACUUUUUCAAUUACUUUAAUAAAGUAAUGUAACUGAUUACUUUUGAUUACUUU